GACGAACGCUGGUGGCGUGCUUAACACAUGCAAGUCGAACGGGAUUUAGUAAACAGAAGCCUCGGUGGAAGAUUACUACUGAGAGUGGCGAACGGGUGAGUAACGCGUGAGCAACCUGCCUAUGACAGUGGGAUAGCCUCGGGAAACCGGGAUUAAUACCGCAUAAAAUCGUAGAAACACAUGUUUUAACGGUCAAAGAUUUAUCGGUCAUAGAUGGGCUCGCGUCUGAUUAGCUAGUUGGUGAGAUAACAGCCCACCAAGGCGACGAUCAGUAGCCGGUCUGAGAGGAUGAACGGACACAUUGGAACUGAGACACGGUCCAAACUCCUACGGGAGGCAGCAGUGGGGAAUAUUGCACAAUGGGGGAAACCCUGAUGCAGCGACGCCGCGUGAACGAAGAAGGUAUUCGUAUCGUAAAGUUCUGUCCUAUGGGAAGAUAAUGACAGUACCAUAGAAGAAAGCUCCGGCUAAAUACGUG
rnacentral:rRNA from 1 species